rnacentral:rRNA from 1 species
UCCAGACUCCUACGGGAGGCAGCAGUGAGGAAUAUUGGUCAAUGGUCGGGAGACUGAACCAGCCAAGCCGCGUGAGGGAUGAAGGUACAGAGUAUCGUAAACCUCUUUUGUCGGGGAACAAAGGCGCCCACGGGUGGGCGGAUGAGUGUACCCGAAGAAAAAGCAUCGGCUAACUCCGUGCCAGCAGCCGCGGUAAUACGGAGGAUGCGAGCGUUAUCCGGAUUUAUUGGGUUUAAAGGGUGCGUAGGCGGACAGUCAAGUCAGCGGUAAAAAUGCGGUGCUCAACGCCGUACAGCCGUUGAAACUGGCAGUCUUGAGUGGGCGAGAAGUAUGCGGAAUGCGUGGUGUAGCGGUGAAAUGCAUAGAUAUCACGCAGAACUCCGAUUGCGAAGGCAGCAUACCGGCGCCCAACUGACGCUGAAGCACGAAAGCGUGGGGAUCAAACAGGAUUAGAUCCCCUGUA